AUUGAACGCUGGCGGCAUGCCUUACACAUGCAAGUCGAACGGUAACAGGUCUUCGGAUGCUGACGAGUGGCGAACGGGUGAGUAAUACAUCGGAACGUGCCUAGUAGUGGGGGAUAACUACUCGAAAGAGUGGCUAAUACCGCAUGAGAUCUACGGAUGAAAGCAGGGGAUCGCAAGACCUUUCGCUACAAGAGCGGCCGAUGGCAGAUUAGGUAGUUGGUGGGAUAAAAGCUUACCAAGCCGACGAUCUGUAGCUGGUCUGAGAGGACGAUCAGCCACACUGGGACUGAGAAACGGCCCAGACUCCUACGGGAGGCAGCAGUGGGGAAUUUUGGACAAUGGGCGCAAGCCUGAUCCAGCAAUGCCGCGUGCAGGAUGAAGGCCUUCGGGUUGUAAACUGCUUUUGUACGGAACGAAAAGCCCCGGGUUAAUACCCUGGGGUCAUGACGGUACCGUAAGAAUAAGCACCGGCUAACUACGUGCCAGCCGCCGCGGUAA
rnacentral:rRNA from 1 species